UACGAAGGGGGCUAGCGUUGUUCGGAAUUACUGGGCGUAAAGCGCGUGUAGGCGGGCCGUUAAGUCGGGGGUGAAAGCCCAGAGCUCAACUCUGGAACUGCCUUCGAUACUGGCGGCCUGGAGCAUGAUAGAGGCGAGUGGAAUUGCGAGUGUAGAGGUGAAAUUCGUAGAUAUUCGCAGGAACACCAGUGGCGAAGGCGACUCGCUUGAACAUUGAUGACGCUGAGACGCGAAAGCGUGGGGAGCAAACAGG
rnacentral:rRNA from 1 species